AACCGUCGAGUUGGCAAACGGGUGAGUAACGCGUAGACAACCUGCCGCAAAGAUGGGACAACAGUUCGAAAGGACUGCUAAUACCGAAUGUUCUGGGAAAUUCCCGCAUGGAAUUCCCAGCAAAGAUGGCCUCUACUUGUAAAGCGAUCUCUUUGCGAUGGGUCUGCGUCUGAUUAGCUAGUUGGUGGGACAACGGCCUACCAAGGCGACGAUCAGUAGCCGGUCUGAGAGGAUGAACGGCCACAUUGGGACUGAGACACGGCCCAGACUCCUACGGGAGGCAGCAGUGGGGAAUCUUCCGCAAUGGGCGAAAACCUGACGGAGCAACGCCGCGUGAGUGAAGAAGGUCUUCGGAUCGUAAAGCUCUGUUGCCGGGGACGAAUGUAGGCAGUCAAACAGC
rnacentral:rRNA from 1 species